GUACUGCCGAAGAGUCCCAAGUUCUAGGACGAAACAGCUGUCCGGUAC
rnacentral:hammerhead_ribozyme from 1 species